CUCAUCACCAGGUGUUCUACAUCCUAAUUGCUCAAUGAGGUGCACCUGACUUGGGAGGGGAGUGUUAUAAAAGAUCUUUGGCAGCACCUGAAGUGGAGGCUUCUGGAGUGGGGACUGCAGGCCUAUGGAGGGAUAACCGCACGUGGAAUAUCAGGAUGCAACUUACCCCCAAAACUUGAAACCUGCGAUAUGAGUGUUUGGAGCUGUUCCCAGCUGGCAGUGGGCGAAGGUUGGGAUACUAGACAGGUCUCCAUGUAAAGUCCACACAGAGCAGCCACAGCUGGCAGGAAGUUGUGGAGUUGUGAGUGCAUUCACAAAAGGGAAAAAGCGGGCAAAAGCAAAACACUGGCGCCUUUUUAAACUUGAUGACCAAGAGGCCCCAUCAGACAGCAUUUCUUUAGACGAAGGUCACCGCUGUGGAGCUGACAACUUGACAGCUGCUCAUUUGUCUUUGCGUGAGAAGAUGCCAUUGGUGGAUCUGGACCUGGUCCUGGUCUAGUCAAGCAUGGCAGCUGGCACAAGCUAAGAUGUUGAUAGUGGAAUCAGCCGUGACAGCUUUCUCACCAUUGCAGAAGAAGCCCUGCACUUGUAACAGUAGUGUGCUUCGCAUGCAGUGAUUUAUAUUGCGUAUUAAGUCAUUUGCAAGAAUAACUUUUUACAUUGACUUUGCAUGGCUGACAAGACUAAUGUAAAUGUUGUUAAUAGUACGAGUUUGUGAUUUUCCUGACAAGAGAUUUGGUUUACCCAUUAAUCCUAAAUGUGAGAUGUCAACAUCAGCAGUAUCAUAUGUUUAAUCAUGUGCAAAUUCUUCAGAUUAAAACGGUCCUGCAGUGCA